rnacentral:rRNA from 1 species
UACGUAGGUGGCAAGCGUUGUCCGGAUUUAUUUGGUUUAAAGGGUGCGUAGGCGGUUCUGUAAGUCAGUGGUGAAAUACGGCAGCUCAACUGUCGAGGUGCCAUUGAUACUGCGGAACUUGAGUACUGAUGAGGUAGGCGGAAUUGACGGUGUAGCGGUGAAAUGCUUAGAUAUCGUCAAGAACACCGAUAGCGAAGGCAGCUUACCAAGCAGUAACUGACGCUGAGGCACGAAAGUGCGGGGAUCAAACAGG